rnacentral:lncRNA from 1 species
GAAGGUGCAGCCCUGCGUCCUGUGAGAAGAUGUCUUAUGGAUCCAUCGCUGGCAGUGGCGGCCUGGGGAGCCGGGGCCCUUUCGGGGGGCCCUCCCAACAAGGCUAUCAGCCUCUAGAGUGCACAAAGUGUUGGACCAAGUACGGAAUCCGCCAUUUCCCCUGCCCAUCGCCAGAGAGCAGCCUGCAGGACCCCUGUGUGGGUGAGGAUGGGGACGGUGACCCGGGGCCAGCUGGCACCCCCAGAGGCCCGAGGGCCAGGAAGCGAGGGCCAGGGGUCACGCCCGAUGGCAGUGGGACACCAGAGCCCACCUUGCUGCCUGCUGGCCCACAGAAGGAGCCGGCUGCAAGGGCCCGUGGCCACGUGGCCAGCACCACCCGGGCCAAGAAGAGGAAGCCCAACUUCUGCCCGCAGGAGACGGAGGUGCUGGUAGCCAGGGUCAGCAAGCACCAUCAGCUUCUGUUUGGCACCGGCCUGCCGCGGGCCGAGCCUGCCCGCAGGUACCGCGUGUGGAGCCGCAUCCUGCAGGCAGUGAACGCGCUGGGCUACUGCCGCCGCGACCUUGUGGACCUCAAGCACAAGUGGCGGGACCUGCGGGCCGUAGUGAGGCGCAAGCUGGGCGAGCUGCCGGGGGCGCCUCAGGCCCUGCCCCUCACGCCCCUGGAGCAGGCCGUGGCCAAGACCUUCUCCUUCCAGGCCCCGCCCUCCGAGGGCCUCGGCCCCGAGCCGCGCAGAGCCACCCAGAUGGACCCAAGUGACCUCCAGGAGCUGUUCCAAGAGACGUCAGCCAACAUCUUCCGAAUCAACUCCAAUGUGACCUCCUUGGAGCAGAGCCUCCGGUCCCUGGGGACGCCGGGUGACACGCAGGAGCUGCGGGACAGCCUGCACACAGUGCAGCAGGAGACCAACCGCACGAUCGCGGCCAGCGCCAGCGCCCUGAAGCAGACGGCCGAGCUCCUGCGGGGCUGCCCCCGGCAGGAGCAUCUUCAGCUAGAUCGCCUGAAAACUCAGCUGUCAGACGCCGUCCGACGCUAUGGAGUGGUGCAGAAGAAAAUUGCAGAGAAGUCCAGAGCACUGCUUCCCACGGCACAGAGGGGUGGCAAGCAGCAGAGCCCCCAGGCCACCUUUGCUGAGCUGGCUGAUGAUGAGAAGAUUUUCAACGGGGGUGAUGGUGUGUGGUCGGGUCACGAGCAGGCGCUGCUUCCCGAGAUCACCGAGGAGGACCUGGAGGCCAUCCGGCUGCGAGAGGAGGCCAUCCUGCAGAUUGAGAGUGACCUGUUAGAUGUGAACCAGAUCAUCAAGGACUUGGCCUCCAUGGUUUCAGAGCAAGGAGAGGCCAUCGGGUCCAGCAGCGGCAAGGCCUCGUGCGGGCGCAGCUCCAGCCCUGAGCCGGCUGCGGCAGCCCUGUUGCCUGGGCCAGGCCCGCACUUGCGCACCAAGACGCGGAAGCCCAACUUCAGCCCCCAGGAGACGGAGGUGCUGGUGCAGAGGGUGGCACGCCACUACUCCCUGCUGUUCGGGGCGCUGCGGGGCCCGCCCGCCCGCAAGCACCGGGUGUGGAGCAAGAUCCUGCAGGCGGUGAACGCGCUGGGCUACUGCCGCCGGGACCUGGGCGACGUCAAGCACAAGUGGCGGGACCUGCGCGGGGUGGUGCGCAGGAAGCUGGCCGAGUGCCCCCGCACCCCCGCCGUCCUCACGCCUGUCGAGCGCAUGGUGGCCGAGACCUUCACGGCCCCAGGCACCCCUGGGGAGGGCCGUGCCGUCAAGCCCCUGCCAAAUAGUAUUGAAGCUGGCCUUGAGGCUGCGUCCUCGCACACAGAGGCGGCCAGUGAGCUCCUCGCUGGAGCCAGCCGGCACCAACUCCGAAGACGCAAAGUCAAGUGCUUCCUCCUGGCGGCUGGCGUCACCGUCCUGCUGGUCAUCGUCCUCAUCGUCGCCACCUCUGUUCGAAAGUGAUGCCGCCCCGG